rnacentral:rRNA from 1 species
AUUGAACGCUGGCGGCAGGCCUAACACAUGCAAGUCGAACGAGUGGCGGACGGGUGAGUAAUGUCUGGGAAACUGCCUGAUGGAGGGGGAUAACUACUGGAAACGGUAGCUAAUACCGCAUACCAUCAGAUGUGCCCAGAUGGGAUUAGCUAGUUGGUGGGGUAACGGCUCACCAAGGCGACGAUCCCUAGCUGGUCUGAGAGGAUGACCCGCCAAACUGGAAAUGGGGCACGGUCCAAGAUCCUUAGGGAGGGAGGAAUGGGGAAUAAUGGAAAAUGGGCGCAAGCCUGAUGCAGCCAUGCCGCGUGUAUGAAGAAGGCCUUCGGGUUGUAAAGUACUUUCAGCGGGGAGGCGUUACCCGCAGAAGAAGCACCGGCUAACUCCGUGCCAGCAGCCGCGGUAAUAC